rnacentral:rRNA from 1 species
UCAUACGUAGGAUCCGAGCGUUAUCCGGAAUUACUGGGCGUAAAGAGUUGCGUAGGUGGUUUGUUAAGCGAGCAGUGAAAUCUUGGGGCUCAACCUCAAGGCUAUUGCUUGAACUGGCAGACUAGAGUUUGGUAGAGGUAACUGGAAUUCCAAGUGUAGGAGUGAAAUCCGUAGAUAUUUGGAGGAACACCAAUGGCGUAGGCAGGUUACUGGCCCAACACUGACACUGAGGCACGAAAGCGUGGGUAGCAAACGGGAUUAGAUACCCCGGUAGUCCACGCCCUAAACUAUGGAUGCUAGCUGUGAGGAGUAUCGACCCUCUUCGUAGCGAAGCUAACGCGUUAAGCAUCCCGCCUGGGGAGUACGAACGCAAGUUUA